UACGGAGGGGGCGAGCGUUAUUCGGAAUUAUUGGGCGUAAAGGGCGCGUAGGCGGCUUGAUGUGUCAAAGGUGAAAUCCCUCGGCUCAACUGAGGAACUGCCUUUGAAACUGUCUGGCUUGAGGCCGGGAGAGGGUAGCGGAAUUCCCAGUGUAGCGGUGAAAUGCGUAGAUAUUGGGAGGAACACCAGUGGCGAAGGCGGCUCACUGGACCGGAACUGACGCUGAGGCGCGAAAGCGUGGGGAGCAAACGGG
rnacentral:rRNA from 1 species